CCUACGGGGGGCAGCAGUGAGGAAUAUUGGUCAAUGGUCGGGAGACUGAACCAGCCAAGCCGCGUGAGGGAUGAAGGUACAGAGUAUCGUAAACCUCUUUUGUCAGGGAACAAAGGCGGGGACGCGUCCCCGGAUGAGUGUACCUGAAGAAAAAGCAUCGGCUAACUCCGUGCCAGCAGCCGCGGUAAUACGGAGGAUGCGAGCGUUAUCCGGAUUUAUUGGGUUAAAAGGGUGCGAAGGCGGUCUGUUAAGUCAGCGGUAAAAGCCCGGGGCCCAACCCCGGCCCGCCGUUGAAACUGGCAGUCUCGAGUUGGAGAGAAGUAUGCGGAAUGCGCGGUGUAGCGGUGAAAUGCAUAGAUAUCGCGCAGAACUCCGAUUGCGAAGGCAGCAUGCCGGCUCCACACUGACGCUGAGGCACGAAAGCGUGGGUAUCGAACAGGAUUAGAUACCCUAGUAGUC
rnacentral:rRNA from 1 species